rnacentral:rRNA from 1 species
UACGAAGGGUGCUAGCGUUGUUCGGAAUCACUGGGCUUAAAGCGCACGUAGGCGGCUUUCUAAGUCAGGGGUGAAAUCCUGGAGCUCAACUCCAGAACUGCCUUUGAUACUGGGAAGCUCGAGUACGGAAGAGGUGAGUGGAACUGCGAGUGUAGAGGUGAAAUUCGUAGAUAUUCGCAAGAACACCAGUGGCGAAGGCGGCUCACUGGCCCGGAACUGACGCUGAGACGCGAAAGCGUGGGGAGCAAACAGG